CAUCCUUGCUGUGAGGAGGAGGAUUCUCUUCUGAGUGCUGCAUUGGGUGCUGGUGCAGAGAAGUUUUGGAGCCAUCCCAGCAGUGGACUUCAUUGGAUGACAGAUAUUGUGCAGUAGAUACAGGUAUCCCAUAUUUCCCCUGAACACUCUCAGUGCUAUGUGC
rnacentral:lncRNA from 1 species